CCGGCCCUGGCUGGACCCCCCGCCCGGCCGCCCACUGUCGCCGCCCGUGGGCGCCCCCCAGGUCCCCGGGUCCUCAGCCCCCGCCACCCCGGCGCCGGCCCCUCUCACCCUUUCAUUCUCUGCCCGGGGCCUGGCGCGGGCCGGCGAAUCCCCGGCCUCACAUCAGAGUGAGAGGCGCUGGCAAUGGACUAGGAAGCUCGGCUGCCGCUGCUACUGCUCCCCCCUGGGCUCCGGCGAGAGCCUUUCCCUGUCAAGCAAGAGGGGUGAGGAUCAUAUUUUUAUUUUGGAAACUAAAAAGUGCUCCCAGGGUCGGUGAUUAUUAAGGGGAAAUCCCUGAAUAUACUCUCCAGCCAAGAAGGCAGGGCUGCCGGGGCUGCACAAGAAGAGGCAGCAGCCUCCUACAGCACCACUACAGGCACUGCGAGGACAUAACACCAGAGAGCAGCUCCUCUGCCCUCCGAAACGACAACUUUCCUACCAUCUUGGAGGCAGAGGGAAGGGGGGCCGGGGGGAAAAGUGCACCCGCUCCCGAUAAAGUACAAAUUUCUACUUCUCAUCUCUGGAAAAAAAUCCACACCGGCCGUCUACACCGACGCCUGGGGGAAAAAGCGGGGAAGAAACUGGGGGUGCUUGAGCACCGUUUGCAUUUGCACCAGGGGGAAAAAUGUUUCUGCAUCUUCUGAUGAAAAGAAAUCUUUGCAAGACACAGGUUUUCCGGUGAUUAUUGUUUUCUAUUUUCUAUUUAAUUUUUCCAUGUUAAUGAUAGUAGUAGUUUAAUUUUUUUCAUGCUAAUAAUGAUUUUUCCCCCAUUGCAGAGUUAAGUUCUGGGUCUGGUCAGUUUAUAAAUUUGGACUUCAAGAGACUUCAUAGCCACUUUGUGUACUUAUUUAUACGUUUUUGUAUGUAGAGAUACUCGUAUGGUUCCUUAUAUAUAAAAAUUUGUGUUAUAUACUCCCUCCAGACUGAGAUUGCUGGAAGACAAUUGUAAAGGGAUGUCUUUUGUCUCCUUUUCUCAAAGCAAUGUAAAUAAAACCUAUUGACUGUCCAGAAAGGCAUGAUACAGCUGUUUAUUUUUCAUAGUGCAAAUUAAAGCAGAGAUCACUGGGGGGUUUUAAAUACAACUUAAGUAUAACUGACCACGUUUCUAGAAAUAAUCCUAAUGCUGUUAUGGUCAGCCCAUGAGGCAAGGUUACUGUAAAACUGGAAAUAGCUUUUAAAGACAGCUUUAGAUUUUGUUUAAGUAAGAUUGCUUAUUAAGAAUUAUAUCCAGGCAUUUAAUGUUUUAUUUAUUUAGAGCCUUAAGGAUUGGAUCUUUGGUGCGUUACACAGGUCGCUGUCUGUCCACUCUCUGUGUCACAGAAUUGAAAAAUGUGUCUGUUUUUGUUAGAGUGGAAAUAUUCAGAACUUCCAAUGUGCUGCCGAACUGUAUAAAUUACUUUUAGUAUAUUGCAGUGGAUGUCAUGAAUUAAUUUUUUUUAAUGAGCAAAGCUUCCUAGGUAGAUGGGAUCAAAGUUACACCAUGCUGAGGUAACACAGAGACCAGGGAGAGGAGGUUGGAGCCUGCUUGCAGCAAUUCCCAUAGAACUCUUACUGAAGGAGAAUAAAGUGCAGAUACUUUGCUAUUUUUAUGAAGGAAGAGAAUACUAGAAAAUGAACAAAAGGUCUUUUUGUAUGUUCUCCAGAGAAUGAUGAAUUGAAUCUUUUUUUUUUUAAUUGAAGUAAAGUCAGUUAUGAUGUGUCAAUUUCUGGUGUACAGCAUAAUGAUGAAUUGAAUCUUGUACUAAAAGUUAUUUUCUGAUGCAGGUUGGCUGACAUAGUGGGAAUGAAUUGAUAAUAUUAAGUGCCUUGAAUCAGUAGGAUAUUUAAUUUCUUUCACUUAAAAUUUAUUACAAAGCAUUUAAAAAUAACUGAUGACUCAUUUAAAAAUGUUUAUUUUUUGAGCUUCCAAAUUGAGAAAUUCCCAUAAUGUUAAAGUGAGUUCAGAUAAUGCAUAUAACAGACAUUUAUUAUUUUCAGGCUGAUCUCCAUCUGUAUCAUCUAAAUUUAAGGAUAGUACCUGAAUAGUCUUGGUUUUCUUUUGUGUUUUUUUUUCCCCUUACUCUUUGUAAAAAAAUCUAAAGUAAUUAAAGUAAAAUUAACUGAUUCUUAUCAUCUUGGAAGCCUCAGUUAUGAAGUUGUGCUUCUAUUUACAAUUCUUUAAAAAAACGUUUGGAAAUCUAGCUCUUUGAUCAUAACAAGGAAAUCUGUUCCCUUAAUGAAGAAAUCUAAUGGACUUGAAAAAUGUGUUUUUGAACUUGUUCCUUAUAUGUAACAUGACUUUAAAGAUAUGCUUUGAAUUUUCAAGAAAUUAAGAUGUAUUUGCUUCAAGCUGACUGCACCCAUUUAUGAAUCCCUCUUGUGACCAACAGGCUUGUUUGCAUGAUGUCCAUCUGGGGACAGGGAAAUGGUGCAUAAUCUUAGCAUUUUAAUGUCUUUCUCUUAAGCUUGACUUGUACAGGGCUGUCAUCUGUGAUGUUUUUCCACCAGCUGAGCUAAAUAGCUCAGACUUGGGGAAUUAGAGCCCAAACAAGAAAAAAAAAUCUGUAUUUGCAAUAUUGGUGAAUUUGAUUGGUCAUUGUUUAUUUUGGUUGAUAGUUGAACUCAUUUCAAGUGUUGUCUCUAAUUCCUAAAAACUACAGGUGCUAAUAAAACUACUGACAUAAUUAAUAACCCUGUUUUGCCCAAUAAAAUCCCCAGUACUCAAAUUUGGCUAACAUUGCGCACCUAACACAUCUUGGGAACCUUGCUGGACACUUUUAUGCAUGUGCUCGCUCUAGUUUAAUUCCCCUAAGGGCUCCAAAAAGUAUUAUUUUUCUUUCCUUUCUCCCUUCCUCCUCCUCCUUUCCCCUUCUUUCCCCUUUUAAAUACAAUUGGAAUAAUUGUCUUCACUUUCAAGGAGUGUAGACCUUCUUGGCCCUAAGGCUUUCCAGUAAGAUUCCAAACCCUUUUGCUCUAUAGUUUCCAAGGUGCCUACCAUAGCUCUAUAAUCUGUAUCUAGAAAUGCUAAAUUCCCGCUAUUUACUCUUUUCCGAAAUCAAACUUUGAGUUUGAGCGGUUGGAGCCCCCUUCAUUCACUAGUAGCAACCAGUAGCUUUCAUCCUCCUGAAGUCUAGUACCUGUCUAUCCAUUGUUUCGAGUAAUGCAAAAUAUAUAUAUAUAUAUAUAUAUCUCAAUUGAAAUGUACUGUUAUUAAGAGAGAUUUCCUUCCUGAUCCUGAAAAUGACGUUUUGUAGAACACUAACAUAAUUAGAAAUGUUACCUAUGGUUGUAAAAUUAUGGUAUUUUCUAAAAGAUCUAGUCAAUGAAUGACAGUCACCUGCAGCCAUGAAAGCAGAAGUUUUACCUGUGUGAUACUUCAAGCAGUAGUGUCUUUUAUUUAUUUUGUUAUUAGGCUUUAAUUUCACAAGUAGCUUGUUUGGCCUUUAGUUGAAAUAGGACUUGCCUUAAUAUUUUUAACAUUAUUAGAAAUUUUAAUUGACUUGCCUUUUGGUAUAAAUGAUUUUGAUUUUGUAAAAAUUAACCACCAUAUUAUGAACACUAUAGUGAAGUUACUAAGAAAUUACCACCUAUGUCCUUAAAAGAACUCAUUCACAGAUUGUGUGGAUUUAAAGUGAAAGAUUUAUGCAUAUUUAAUAUAUUAAAUGUCUUUAAACAAUGAA